rnacentral:tRNA from 1 species
GGAGAGGUGUCCGAGUGGUUUAAAGUACCGCCUUGGAAAGGCGGCGUGGGGGCAACUCCACCGGGGGUUCGAAUCCCCCCCUCUCCGCCA